CAAGUCAUCGUUCAAUUUGUUUCGCGCGAGAGCGGGGCUAUCGGCAGCAUUUGUCGAGCUUUGGAUUUUGGACAGCGCAGCGCUGCCUCGCGGCGGCUACUGAAGUUACGAGUGUGGCGGCAAACGGCGGCAAAGUUCUACAGACUUUGCCCUACGUUACGCUGCUUGCUCUCCGACGUCAUCAUACACCUGGCGCCGCACUUCUGUGAUGGUGCCAUGAUGGCGAAUGCUGCCUUGACAGAGGUGUGCGCGGAGCUAGAUAAGACACAACAAAUCAUAAGCAGGCCAGUGGCGCGUCGUCUGCUUGGACGCGCUCGCCGCGCCCGCGCUCCACCGCCCCGCCCUGCCGCCGCCGACACGCUCACGAGCCCAAAGAUAAACUGCAGCUUGUCGUAGCGGGAAAUCCCCGUGACUUCCCCCGCGCCCCGCCGCUCUGCCUGACAAGUGGGUCUCCCAUACUACACAGGACGAUUUGGAGAUCUGUGUUCCGCCUCAACGUCUCCAUCAUCAUCCCCCUUAUCUCCGCCGCCGCCUCGCUGCCGUAUUCAUGGAUGCCGAUCGCGGCUCGUUUCCGCCCUGCGCAGUUGGCGGGGAGGAUGCAAUAAUGAUGACAAAUAUGUUGGGCGCUGACGUCCUCGCCCGCGCCGCACCUGGUGCCUGCGCCCGCUGCGCCCGCUGUCAACAAGCUGCGCUGAUUACAAUGACGAGCAGCGCAUGCCGCGCGUCAAACCCGACACCAGCCGCCCGCGUCCCUUUUUGGCGAGCGUUUUCAGAGAAGCGCGCGUCGCAGCAGUAGCAGCUAACCACGCGCGUUUUCGUUGGACGCUGGCCGCCGCCUCCGUCGCUGUUUUGGGCGAACAACGCUCCGCGCGUCUCUGGAGAAAUGGUGCGGUUGGCGGGGCCGAGCUCGGGGCCCUCUCAUUGGCAUCCUCCGCACUUUACUUCCGGAUGCGCAGCGCAGCGAGACAAAAGGCUUGCCAUGCUGCUCAGGUGCCUCGCCGAGUGCCUCGCCUACCUCAAGGAUGGUGCCCGGCGCGGCCCGGCCCGGCCCGCUGGAGUGCUCUGGAAUGGCUCUGGCUGGACGCGCACUACACUGGGGGUCUCAAGCUCCAGCGUGAACCCCAUCCUUACGCCAUUAGCUUCUUGCAGUCCUUGCGCCAAAAUACAAUGUGGUAUUGUGUCCAGCAGACAUGCGGGUGUUGCGGGGCCUGCCUGGAGCUGCUCACCUGUUGGGGACUGGGAUGCUGGAGCUGGAGGCGGCGUCCUGGGCGAGAUGCACGUCGGCGUGAGCUGCAGCAGCGGGUCCUGGCUGUCAGGAUGCUGUUGCCCUCCGACACGCGAGCUUCGCUACGCUACGCGCUACGGUCUCGGCGAGACUGAGGACGGUGCGGGCCACAACCAGGUUUGUGUUGCUCGGCUCCGACUCUGCGCGGCGCGGCUCUGUCAAUCGGCACGACUCGUCUCGAUGCCGGUCGACCAGCCUUUGCACUACUGCCGCUCGCCCGGCGGCGGUGGUGCGCGGCCAGCGGCCCACCGGCUGAAGAGGAGCGAGAGAGAAAGAGCGAGCGAGCGAGAGGGGCCGCUGACGGUGUGCUGCGCCUCGCCGCGCGCGCCAAGCGGAGGGGGUCUCGUUCUUCUAGGUGCCCGCUACGCCUAGCAUUCGGGUGCUAGGCAACCCAUUCGACGUUGGCGCCACGCAGAUUCCCCUUCUCACCUGCUGCGCUCCACUUUGACUACGAAAACUUCAAAAUUGUGUGCAACUGUGCAGAAAAAUCUCAGCUGUAAGGACACCUUGGUGCCAAUGGAUUUCCACUACGCAUCGUUUGAAAUCAAUUAAAAUCCAACAUAUGGAGUAAUAAAACAUAGCGUUGAAUACAAUGCCUAGAGGGCAGAUCACAACAAUGAUGACACCACCACCACCAACCACACUCCACCAUCGCCUGUGGCACCCUGGCAACACGCGCACCGAAUGACCAGCGAGUGACCCUCACCACCACCAUAGCGCCGCGGCCCGCUGCCAGAGACUUUUGAAACAAAUUAGGAGGUCGAUCAUGUCGGGCCCAAGCAGCAGCCCUGCGCCGCCGCUUAAUUUUGAUCGUGACCGCCCCAUUAUCAAUAGUGAUUGCGUGUCGCGGCGCCAACGCCGUACGUACUUCCAUGUAAUGCCGUUACUUUCGCUCCGAGAACACGCUUGGAAAUGGCCUAGCUCUCCGUGCGUUCGUUGUCUCAGAGGGGCGCGCGCCCCGCUCGCCUGUUGCUGCGCUCUACUCGCUCAAGGUGACGCGCCUGUACCGCCCGUCAGAAGGAGGCGACGCGACACCUCGGCGCCGAUAACGCCAGCCGCUUAUUGAGCGUCGAAACGACGCUCCGAUGUGUUGCAAUCAUCUGUUCUCAUUAUGGUAAUGGCGUAAGCAAAGCAGGCGCGGCCGGCGAGCAAGAGCAGGCGAGGGUCGCCGCCGGUCACCCCAGCCUGUCUAUGGAGAAAGGAGCCGGCCGAGCUGGCUGGCGCGCAGGUGAUGUGGGAAUUGAUUCGACGGCGUCGUCGUCGGGGCUGCUGCUCCGGCCACCACCCCCGGCACCCCCCGAGGAGGGGAGGAGGGUCACGCGCUCCUACUGCCUGCUGCUGCUGCAGACCUCCUGGGAGCUUGCAAUUACUCAUCGUGACUAAUUGCAAUAGGAAUAUUGUGCGCAAGGUCGAGCGCAGUCGGCGGGGAUGAUCACCGCCUCGGCCGGGAUGCUGUCGCUGUCCUCGCCAGGCGCCGCGUUGCAACAGCCCUGCAUUAUACCCCGCGGAGUCAGCGACACCCACGCCGCGAGAUAACUCAAG